rnacentral:rRNA from 1 species
UACAGAGGGGGCAAGCGUUAUUCGGAAUUAUUGGGCGUAAAGGGCGCGUAGGCGGCUUGGCAAGUGGAUGGUGAAAUCCCUCGGCUUAACCGAGGAACUGCCGUCCAAACUGCUUCGCUUGAGACCGGGAGAGGUGAGUGGAAUUCCCAGUGUAGCGGUGAAAUGCGUAGAUAUUGGGAGGAACACCAGUGGCGAAGGCGGCUCACUGGACCGGUACUGACGCUGAUGCGCGAAAGCCAGGGGAGCAAACGGG